rnacentral:rRNA from 1 species
AAUAUUGCGCAAUGGGGGAAACCCUGACGCAGCAACGCCGCGUGAAGGAAGAAGGUCUUCGGAUUGUAAACCUUUGUCUUGUGGGACGAUAAUGACGGUACCACAUGAGGAAGCUCCGGCUAACUACGUGCCAGCAGCCGCGGUAAUACGUAGGGAGCGAGCGUUGUCCGGAAUUACUGGGUGUAAAGGGUGCGUAGGCGGGCAUGUAAGUCAGAUGUGAAAACUCCGGGCUCAACUUGGAGACUGCAUUUGAAACUAUGUGUCUUGAGGACGGGAGAGGUAAGCGGAAUUCCUAGUGUAGCGGUGAAAUGCGUAGAUAUUAGGAGGAACACCAGUGGCGAAGGCGGCUUACUGGACCGUAACUGACGCUGAGGCACGAAAGCGUGGGUAGCAAACA